ensembl:lncRNA
CUAGCACACACCGGCGCCGACUAGCCGCGCGGCAGCGUUCCGCGCCGCGCCGCCCAACUACUCUUCGAGACAAUGUUCUAUUCCCGAGCGUCGCCGCCCCUGAAAAAGCGCUUUGUAAAAGCUGGUUUGUACAUCCCGGGUCCCGUAGGCACCUCCAUAUCUACCCCUCACCACUGGAUGUCGCCCUCUUUCGUUUGCGAUAAACAAUUACGAGAAUGGACGAUGAGAGACUGGUCGUCGAGGUGGAAAAAUACGUCGAAUUAUAUGACCAAAGUACCCGUCAUUACAAAGACAACUCCAAAAAGGUCAUUGCCUGCAGUGGCGAGCCAUAGCUCUGGAGAUUGGAUCUUCAGAACAAAUAACUGUUGCCAGACAGAGGGGGGCUGCCCUUCUUCUCCUGCAAGGAGCAAGGAGAAGACAAAGGGUUUGGGUGCACCCCAUCAAUGAACGGAGACAAGAACAGGGGGUAUGCCACAAUCUGGUCCAGGAGCUCCGUGCAGAUCCUGAGAGGCACGCCAAUAUUUCAAUUCGCUACUAAGUGUGCAAUGGCAGAACCAUAUGGUGCAGCCUAUAUGAUGACCUAUAAUCUAGUUAUUAUCCCUCUCUGGUAUAUUUGCAUAUAUAUACUUUUUUUUUUUAUCCCUCGGGAUAAAAAAAGUGAUGUUAUUGCUGUGCUGGAUUCAGUAGCCAGUGUAUUUUAUUUGAGUGCUCGAGACACUUAAUGUUAUUUUUCCUUAAAUCCAGAGAGACAGUUAAUACAUGAUCUGAUACCAGAGAGACAGUUAAUACAUGACAAUGCAUUUUUGAGCUUUGCCUGUGUUUUCUUUUACUUAUCUAUUUUAUUGUAUGAGAAUGUUUCUAUGUGAAGCACUUUGAGUCUGCUUCAUGUAUUAAACGUGCUAUAUGAAUGAAGUUGCCUUGCCU